UGCAAGUGUGACUAGUAUUCGC
rnacentral:siRNA from 1 species